rfam:Schistosoma haematobium scaffold12_22, whole genome shotgun sequence.
AGCCUUCUGUAUCCGUGCUGAAAUUUCAUCACACACUAGAUCACAAGGCCUGAUGAGACUCCCAAGGUCGGUGAAGCG